CGACCUGGCUCACACCGGUUUAAACUCAGAUCAUGUAAAAUUUUAAAGGUCGAACAGACCUAAUCCUAUUAGCUUCUUCACCAAUAAUAUAUUUUAAUCCAACAUCGAGGUCGCAAUCUUUCUUUUCAAUAAGAACUCUAGAAAARAUUACGCUGUUAUCCCUAAGGUAUUUUUUCUUCUAAUCUUUAACUAAGGAUCAAAUAAUCACAAAUCAAUGUUCAAAUAAAAAAAGAGUUUUAUARAUUUUUUAAUCGCCCCAACAAAAUAUUAAURCUUAUUARRCUCUUUCUGUUUCUUCUGAUARAUURAUURAUURAUUAUUAAUAUAARACUCUAUAGGGUCUUCUCGUCUUCCAUUUGUAUUUAAGCUUUUUCRCUUAARRAUAARAUUCUAAUARAUUUUUACAGAGACAGAGAUUUCUUUAUCAAACCCUUCAUACAAGCUUUCRAUUAAAAAACUAAKGAUUAUGCUACCUUUGCACAGUCAAUAUACUGCGGCCAUUUAAAUAUAAUUCAUKGGCAGKUCAG
rnacentral:rRNA from 1 species